UGCCCCAUGGCUGAGUUGGUUACAGCGUCCGACUGUUAAUCACGUUCAUACAAUCGGAAGGUCGUGAGUUCGAGCCUCACUGGGGCAG